rnacentral:snRNA from 1 species
GAGCUACAUCCCAGCCCACAAAUACUAAAAUUGGAAUGAUAUAGAGAAGAUUAGCAUGGCUCCUGCACAAGGAUGAUCCUGACAUAAUGAUCAAUGAUUUU